rnacentral:rRNA from 1 species
CUUGAACCGAUUACCUCGUCCAUGUGAAACUCCUUCGACGAGUCGAGUUGUUUGGGAAUGCAGCUCAAAAUGGGUGGUAAAUUUCAUCUAAAGCUAAAUAUUGGCCAGAGACCGAUAGCGCACAAGUAGAGUGAUCGAAAGAUGAAAAGCACUUUGAAAAGAGAGUUAAACAGUAUGUGAAAUUGUUGAAAGGGAAGCGCUUGCAAUCAGACUUGAGCUUAACAGUUCCCCCUUCGUUCUCGUUGGGUUAUUCUGUUUUGUCCAGGCCAACAUCAGUUCGGGUGGUUGGUUAAAGACUUUAGGAAUGUAUUUACCCUUCGGGGUCGACUUAUAGCCUAGAGUGUCAUGCAGCCUACCUGGACUGAGGAACGCGCUUCGGCUCGGAUGUUGGCGUAAUGGUUGUAAGCGACCCGUCUUGAAACACGGACCAAGGAGUCUAACAUCUAUGCAAGUCUUUGAGUGGAAAACUCGCAGGCGUAAUGAAAGUGAACGGAGGUAAGAAGCCUUUAGGCUGCAUUAUCGACCGAUCUUGAUGUCUUCGGAUGGAUUUGAGUAAGAGCAUAGCUGUUGGGACCCGAAAGAUGGUGAACUAUGCCUGAAUAGGGUGAAGCCAGAGGAAACUCUGGUGGAGGCUCGCAGCGGUUCUGACGUGCAAAUCGAUCG